rnacentral:misc_RNA from 1 species
UUUCCGUAGGGUAAGUUUCUAUUCUAAACAUCUUUUUGAAUCCAACUAAUAUCUAAACAGUGAACCUGCGGAAGGAUCAUUACUGAGGGAAGCUUUAACAAGCGAAAUCUCUCCAACCUUUGUCUUAUAACCUUUCAAACUCAGAAAUUCAUAUUUAUGAGAUGAAAACUUUCAACAACGGAUCUCUUGGUUCUGGCAUCGAUGAAGAACGCAGC